CAGCCCCAAUUAAAUGUUGUCCUUAUAAGAGUUGGCUUGGUCAUGGGGUCUGUCCACAGCAGUAAACCUCUGACUAAGACCUGGUGGUAAUGAACCCAUUCUCAUGUGCAUAACAAAGCCUGAGGCCAUGACAACCUUGAACUCUUUGUAAAGUUCACAUGGCAUCUUCCAUAAAGGUAGGUUCUGUAGAUUAAUAGGGAGCAAAUUCAAGAUAAAGCAGGGUGGGGGGUGUAAAGUUCACAUGGCACCUUCCAUAAAGGUAGGUUCUGUAGAUUAAUAGGGAGCACAUUCAAGAUAAAGCAGGGUGGGAGGGAGACUGUCAUACUACAGAUUGACUGAGACAAACUCAAGAUAAGAGUCUAGAGGAGGAUCUAAUAUGGGCUGGCCACACAGAAAAGAUUACCAGGCUAUUGUGCAAGUCUGCUCCCAGCUUCUGGGUGGAAAACAGGUUGUCCGCAUCUCCCUCCCUUUGAAGAGACGACCCGUGUUUCUAACAUUCCUGAUUUCCCCUAGUGCUUAUGUGUGAGCACAAGGACCUCUGUGCACUUGUAAUUCCGUCCCUGUACUUAGGGCUGACUGUCUGGGGUUGGAUAACCUGUCAUGGAUUUCAUCCCUGGAGAGAACUGAUCCGGCCUCGCUCCUUAGCCAUUGGCUGCGUAUAGUUAUUUAUCUAGGGGUGUAGGAUCUUGUAAAAUUAACCCCGUGCACAUUGGUACUUCAACUGGUAGUCUCUCAUUAUGUUGGCUUCAUUUCGACAGCCAUAUAAUUGAGAUUUCGCGGGUACAAGCCUCCUUGUCACAUUUAGAAGACAUUAGCAGCAG